AACGAACGCUGGCGGCAUGCCUAACACAUGCCAGUCGAACGAGACCUUCGGGUCUAGUGGCGCACGGGUGCGUAACGCGUGGGAACCUGCCCUUAGGUUCGGAAUAACUCCCCGAAAGGGGUGCUAAUACCGGAUAAUGUCUUCGGACCAAAGAUUUAUCGCCUUUGGAUGGGCCCGCGUUGGAUUAGCUAGUUGGUAGGGUAAAAGCCUACCAAGGCGACGAUCCAUAGCUGGUCUGAGAGGAUGAUCAGCCACACUGGGACUGAGACACGGCCCAGACUCCUACGGGAGGCAGCAGUGGGGAAUAUUGGACAAUGGGCGAAAGCCUGAUCCAGCAAUGCCGCGUGAGUGAUGAAGGCCUUAGGGUUGUAAAGCUCUUUUAACCGGGAUGAUAAUGACAGUACCGGGAGAAUAAGCUCCGGCUAACUCCGUG
rnacentral:rRNA from 1 species